GAUGAACGCUGGCGGCGUGCCUAACACAUGCAAGUCGAGCGAACUUCUUCGGAAGUGAGCGGCGGACGGGUGAGUAACGCGUGGGUAACCUGCCCUAUACACACGGAUAACAUACCGAAAGGUAUGCUAAUACGAGAUAAUAUAAGAGAAUCACAUGUUUCUCUUAUCAAAGCUCCGGCGGUAUAGGAUGGACCCGCGUCUGAUUAGCUAGUUGGUAAGGUAAUGGCUUACCAAGGCGACGAUCAGUAGCCGACCUGAGAGGGUGAUCGGCCACAUUGGAACUGAGACACGGUCCAAACUCCUACGGGAGGCAGCAGUGGGGAAUAUUGGACAAUAGGCGAAAGCCUGAUCCAGCGACGUCACGUGAAUGAUGAAGGCCUUAGGGUUGUAAAAUUCUUUUAGUGGAGAAGAUAAUGACGGUAUCCACAGAAAAAGUCCCGGCUAACUUCGUGCCAGCCGCC
rnacentral:rRNA from 1 species